CCCCCCUCUCUCCCCCUUUCUUUUUUUUUUCUGCAAUGAGAUGCACCUUGACGCUUUUGUCUCCCGAUGGCAGUGUCCUGUCGAAGUGCUUCCCUUGCCACAGGGAAUUCCACUGAAGUCCAUGAUCCAACGUCUGAAGAAGAAAGUUCAUCAUUUGACAAAGAGGUCGAAGGAGAUGGAUGGUGAACUUCGCAAGUUGAGGGAGAGUCACUCCGAGGAC
rnacentral:lncRNA from 1 species